GCAGGCUGCAACCCGCCUGCGUGAAGUCGGAAUCGCUAGUAAUCGCGGAUCAGCAUGCCGCGGUGAAUACGUUCCCGGGCCUUGUACACACCGCCCGUCACACCAUGAGAGUCGGGAACACCCGAAGUCCGUAGCCUAACCGCAAGGAGGGCGCGGCCGAAGGUGGGUUCGAUAAUUGGGGUGAAGUCGUAACAAGGUACC
rnacentral:rRNA from 1 species